rnacentral:lncRNA from 1 species
UGGGAAUGGUGGGAAUGUGGGAAUGGUGGGAUUGGGAAUGGUGGGAAUGGUGGGAAUGGUGGGAAUGGUGGGAAUGGUGGGAAUGGUGGGAAUGGGAAUGGGGGAAUGGGAAUGGUGGGAAUAAAGGGAAUGGGAAUGGUGGGAAUGGUGGGAAUGUGGGAAUGGGAAUGGGGGAAUAGGAAUGGUGGGAGUGGUGGGAAUAAUGCGAUUGGGAAUGAUGGGAUUUCAUGGUCCAGGAGUAGUUGGACCAGGGGCAGGGAGUCGUCGAUGCAGCUCUGGGAAUGUAGGAAUGGGAAUGGUGGGAAUGUGGCAAUGUGGGAAUGGGAUUGGGAAUGGUGGGAUUGGGAAUGAUGGGAUUGGGAAUGAUGGGAUUGGGAAUGAUGGGAUUGGGAUUUCAUGGUCCAGGAGGAGACGGACCAGGGGAAUCGUCAAUGCAGCUCUGGGAAUGUGGGAAUGGGAUUGGGAAUAAUGGGAAUGGGAAUGGUGGGAAUAAUGGGAAUGUGGGAAUGGGAAUGGUGGGAAUAAAGGGAAUGGGAAUGGUGGGAAUGGGAAUGGGAUUGGGAAUGGGAAUGGUGGGAAUGUGGGAAUGGUGGGAAUGUGGGAAUGGGAUUGGGAAUGAUGGGAUUGUGGGAAUGGGAAUGAGAAUGGUGGGAAUGCGGGAAUGGUGGGUAUGAGAAAAAUGGGAUUGGGAAUGGUGGGAUUGGGAUUUCAUGGUCCAGGAGCAGCCGGACCAGGGGCAGGGAAUCGUCGAUGCAGCUCUGGGAAUGCGGGAAUGGGAUUCGGAAUAAUGGGAACGGGAAUGGUGGGAAUGGGAAUGGUGGGAAUAACGGAAAUGGGAAUAACAGGAUUGGGAAUAAUGGGAUUGGGAAUAAUGGGACUGGGAAAAAUGGGAUUGGGAAUAAUGGGAUUUCAUGGUCCAGAAGCAGCUGGGCCAGGGGCAGGGGGUCGUCGAUGCAGCUCUGGGAAUGGGGGAAUGGGAAUGGAAUUGGGAAUAAUGGGAAUGGGAAUGGUGGGAAUGUGGGAAUGCUGGGAUUGGGAAUGGUGGGAAUAAUAGGAUUGGGAAUAAUGGGAUAUGGAAUAAUGGGAUUUCAUGGUCCAGGAGCAGCUGGACCAGGGGCAGGGAGUCAUCGAUGCAGCUCUGGGAAUGGGGGAAUGGGAUUGGGAUUGGGAAUAACAGGAAUGAUGGGAAUGGGAUUGGGAAUGGUGGGAAUGUGGGAAUGGGAAUGGUGGGAAUGGUGGGAAUAA